UGGACGCAGAAUCGCACCGGGUGCGGGAGGUGCAGCA
rnacentral:antisense_RNA from 1 species